UACGGAGGGAGCUAGCGUUAUUCGGAAUUACUGGGCGUAAAGCGCACGUAGGCGGCUUGUAAGUUAGAGGUGAAAGCCUGGAGCUCAACUCCAGAAUUGCCUUUAAGACUGCAUCGCUUGAAUCAGGAGAGGUGAGUGGAAUUCCGAAGUGUAGAGGUGAAAUUCGUAGAUAUUGGAAGAACACCAGUGGCGAAGGCGGCUAC
rnacentral:rRNA from 1 species